UAUUUAUGGCCUGGUUGGCAGGCGGCCGCGGGGGAGCCGGAACAGCGCGCCGGGCAGGGGGGACCUGCCCGGUCCGACGCGAGGGGGAGGAUGGACACUCCAGCCGCAUUCUGAGCCUGUGUGGAAGAUAACAUCCUUAAGCUACCCAGUCGUCCAGCCUACACCACCCACCCCCUCGUCCCCUCUACUAGUAGAUCUCCCGGAGUCGGAAGCGCGAAAAAAACGCGCGAUGGCAGACGGCGUAAAUAAGCUGGCCCAAAGCGAAUCUUUUCAAGCGCUGCAGGAUAAAGUCUCCUACUGGGCGAAUGACUAUCAGGCAAACUCCUGUGAUCAAAAUCUAAAUUAUUGCAUCGAACUCAUUGAACAAGUUGCAAAAGUGCAGGCACAGCUCUUUGGGAUCCUCACUGUGACAGCCCAAGAAGGGGGACGUAAUGAAGGUGUGGAGACAAUCAAGUGUCGCCUUUUGCCCUUGCUGCAGACUUCCUUCAGUUCUCUAAACAUGGGAAAGAUUAUUGAUACUGAGAUUCAUCCUAUACAGGAUUUCUGUGAUAGAAAUAAAACCAAAGACAAUUCUCUGGAUCAGGACCAACAACAUUCAGAUGGUGAAUUGAUGCCAGAGAGUCAACCAAACCAGGUUCAAGACGAUCUGGCUGAAAGUGGGAAGAGUCUUGAAGGAGGCAAGAACGGAUCAACCAUAUCCCUCCUGGCUGCAGAGGAGGAGAUAAAUCAGCUAAAAAAGCAGCUCAAAACUCUUCAAGCCCAGGAGGACGCCCGGCACAAAAACUCAGAGAAUCGUCGAUCUGAGAGUUUAAAAACUGAUCGUCGAGGUUCAGCCAAACGAGCCUCAGACUCACGGCCCCAAGGCGUGGUGUCCAACUAUGAGAAACAUCUGCAAAAUCUGAAGGACGAGAUAGCUGUCUUGUCUGCUGAAAAAAAUGGUCUCCAGGGAAGGCCUGCCAGGAGCCGGUCUCCUAGCCCACGCACCCACAGCCGCCGUCGGGGCCGCAGCCACAGCCGCAGCCACAGCCACAGCCGCAGUCGCAGCCGCAGCCGGUCCAAUAGUCCCUGCACCACAGUGGCCAAGAUCAGAAGCCCGUCCCCAAACCAUUCCAAAAUGUCCAGCGUAGCUCGCAAAGCUGCUCUCCUGUCCCGAUUCAGCGACGCCUAUUCCCAGGCCCGCCUGGAUGCUCAGUGUUUGCUGAGGCGUUGCAUCGACAGGGCUGAGACCGUGCAGCGGAUCAUUUACAUCGCCACAGUGGAGGCAUUUCAUGUAGCUAAAAUGGCAUUCAGGCAUUUCAAAAUGCGGGUGAGGAAGAUGCUGACGCCAUCGAAUGUUGGAUCCAACGACUUUGAGACUGCAGUCUCCGAAUAUAUCGUUUGUCACCUGGACCUGUAUGACUCUCAAAGCAGUGUCAAUGAUGUGAUCCGUGCCAUGAACGUCAACCCCAAGAUCUCAUUCCCUCCUGAAGUUGACUUCUGCCUCCUCACUGAAUUCAUCCAGGAGAUUUGCUGCAUCGCUUUUGCCAUGCAGUCCUUAGAUCCACCCCUUGAUAUCGCAUUUGGGGCAGAUGGAGAAGUCUUUAACGAUUGCAAGUACCGCCGCAGCUACGACUCGGACUUCACUGCACCCUUGGUCUUUUAUCAUGUGUGGCCUGCUCUCAUGGAGAGUGACUGUGUCAUCAUGAAGGGAGAAGCUGUCACCAAGAGAGGGGCUUUUGUACGGUGGCCUUGCAUAGUGACAGUUCAUCCCCAGUGUUUGCUUCACAAUGUGUCACCCACAGGACCUUAAUGAUUCACAAUUAAAACAGCACACGAAUUUGGUGCAGAGUCUUCUUCACGUGGACUCAGUAGCUGGUCAACAGAGGGCUCUUACUGCGUCCAGUGAGAUUUCUUCCUUCUGUAAUAUCCAUGCCUUCAGUGCAGCAUCAAGGUGGUUCAGAUCUAACCUGCAUGUCCCACCCACCCAAGCCCAAAGCCAAGCGUGAUUCCUAACAGCUUACUCAGAGAAACACUGUGGAGCACCAGAAUGGUGGAGCUCUGUGCGACCAGUAAUGCGAUGCCGUAGCAGGAGCUUAAGCCCCAUUUGUCCUCGUAGUCGUUUUGGAAUAAGCACGGUACAUUCCUGUGUAACCAUUCCUGCAGACAACC